rnacentral:rRNA from 1 species
UACGUAGGGGGCUAGCGUUGUCCGGAAUCAUUGGGCGUAAAGAGCGUGUAGGCGGUCCGGUAAGUCCGCUGUGAAAGUCGGGGGCUCAACCCUCGAAUGCCGGUGGAUACUGUCGGGCUAGAGUACGGAAGAGGCGAGUGGAAUUGCUGGUGUAGCGGUGAAAUGCGCAGAUAUCAGGAGGAACACCUAUUGCGAAGGCAGCUCGCUGGGACGUAACUGACGCUGAGACGCGAAAGUGUGGGGAGCAAACAGG